CUCUUUUCUUCCUCUUUUCGUCCUCCGAUUCUUCACCGCCUCCAAUUUUUCCUCUUCUCCUCCUCCUUCACUGGCGCCAACACAAGUUUUUCUUACGGAUGUGUUUGUUGUGGCGAAAUUGUUCCAGCAAAGGAGAUGUGCAGAAAGUGUUUCACAUUUCUACCCAUUGGAGUUUGCUUGGUGGUAGAGCUGACCUACCAAAUGGCACAAAUUGGUAGCUCUUUUUGUUUUCUCUAAUUUUUAGGUUAAAUUUGAUGCUUCUAAGGUGGUUAGGAAAGAAGGUGCUGAGUAAAUCGAUCUUCUGAUAAUCACUCAAGCUUCAACAGGUUGUCCAUUUAAUCAUUCUGUAGAAAUUGAAGCGCUGGUGUGCUGCUGAAUGCUAGUCUGAUGCUCUUUUAAGGUUAUAAAGGAUGGAGAAUAUGGAGAGGGUAUAGAUAGAAUUGCUGAUCGGACUGCUGGAUUGCCAUUAGAGGUUGAGGCAGCUAAAGAAAGAGAAGAUAAAGUUGUCAUAAAAGAGAUAAUAAGCAAUCCAAAAGAGGAGCAAACUGUUGCAAAGAGGACCGCCUUGUAAUAGGAUCGGAAGGAAGCGAAGUAAAUGCAAUGCAGGCGUUGCUCUUAUCGGUGAUGGAUGCAUUAGGUAUAUUGAUGUUUAUAUUUUGUUUUGGGAGACAUUAAAUACUCUUAUUGGUUAUGGAUGCAUUAGAUAUAUUGAAUUUUAUAUUUUUUUUGGGAGACAUUAAAUACUUUUAUCGGUUAUGGAUGCAUUAGGUAUAUUGAUGCUUAUAUUUUGUUUUGAAGACAUAUCAAAUACUCUUAUCAGUUAUGGAUGCAUUAGGUAUAUUGAUGUUUAUAUUUUGUUUUAAGAGACAUAAUAAAUACUCUUAUCGGUUAUGGAUGUAUUAGGUAUAUUGAUGUUUAUAUUUUGUUUUGG